rnacentral:rRNA from 1 species
AGUGAACGCUGGCGGCGUGCUUAACACAUGCAAGUCGAACGAGAACGGAAUAUAGCUUGCUAUAUUUGUCAGCUAAGUGGCGCACGGGUGAGUAAUGUAUAGAUAACCUGCCCUUAAGAAAGGCAUAACAGUUGGAAACGACUGCUAAUGCCCUAUAUGCCUUUAAUACAUAAGUAUGCGAGGGAAACGCUUUAGUGCUUAAGGAUGGGUCUGUAUGGUAUCAGCUUGUUGGUGAGGUAAUGGCUCACCAAGGCUAUGACGCCUAACUGGUUUGAGAGGAUGAUCAGUCACACUGGAACUGAGACACGGUCCAGACUCCUACGGGAGGCAGCAGUGGGGAAUAUUGCACAAUGGACGAAAGUCUGAUGCAGCAACGCCGCGUGGAGGAUGACACAUUUCGGUGCGUAAACUCCUUUUAUAUAGGAAGAUAAUGACGGUACUAUAUGAAUAAGCACCGGCUAACUCCGUGCCAGCAGCCGCAGUAA